AGCAGCCGCGGUAAUUCCAGCUCCAAUAGCGUAUAUUAAAGUUGUUGCAGUUAAAAAGCUCGUAGUUGAAUUUCGGGAUCAAAUUGUCGGUCGUGCCUCGGUACGUACUGGUAUUAUUGGUUCCUCCCUUCUGACGAACCACGAUGUCAUUAAUUUGGUGUCAUGGGAAAUCAGGACUGUUACUUUGAAAAAAGUUAGAGUGUUUAAAGCAGGCUCGCGCUUGAAUACAUUAGCAUGGAAUAAUGAAAUAGGACGUUUGAUUCUAUUUUGUUGGUUUCUAGGAUCGACGUAAUGAUUAAUAGGGAUAGUUGGGGGCAUUAGUAUUCAAUUGUCAGAGGUGAAAUUCUUGGAUUUAUUGAAGACUAACUACUGCGAAAGCAUUUGCCAAGGAUGUUUUCAUUAAUCAAGAACGAAAGUUAGGGGAUCGAAGACGAUCAGAUACCGUCGUAGUCUUAACCAUAAACUAUGCCGACUAGGGAUCGGAUGAUGUUAAUUUUUUCAAUGACUCAUUCGGCGCCUU
rnacentral:rRNA from 1 species